CAAAUACUCCCUCUGUCCCAAAUUACUUGCCGCAAAAUUGGAUAAAAAUGGAUGUAUCUAGAAUUAAAAUAUGUCUAAAUACAUCCAUUUCUGCAACAAGUAAUUUCCGACGGAGGGAGUAUGCU
rfam:Triticum urartu cultivar G1812 contig141737, whole genome shotgun sequence.